GACGUAGGGCGCGAGCGUUGUCCGGAUUUAUUGGGCGUAAAGGGCGCGUAGGCGGCCUUCUAAGUCGAACGUGAAAUCCCCGGGCUCAACCCGGGAACUGCGUCCGAUACUGGAAGGCUUGAAUCCGGGAGAGGGAUGCGGAAUUCCAGGUGUAGCGGUGAAAUGCGUAGAUAUCUGGAGGAACACCGGUGGCGAAGGCGGCAUCCUGGACCGGUUCUGACACUGAGGAGCGAAAGCGUGGGGAGCGAUCCGG
rnacentral:rRNA from 1 species